ACAAAGCCCAGUGCAGAUGCGGAAAACCCUCCUCAAAAUCAAUCGGAUAUCCCACAACCAAAAACGUCUUUGUGGCUAACCAAACUAACAUCGGGGUACAGAAGAGUGCUUAGAGUUUCCAAUUUGCUUAGAGGAGUAGAUGAUAUAAAGCAAAAGCACGCAUUGGCAGUAUUGCUAGCCAAAAGAUUUAUUGGAGAUGAAGAAGAUUGGAGCCGUUACGCUUACGGUGAAAGUACAAUGGAACCAUGUAAAGAUCAUGGGAAAAUGAAUGACUCAGUUUCUCCACAACGGCCUAAUUUGGA